rnacentral:ncRNA from 1 species
CAAAAGCUUGGUCCUGGCUUUUCUCUCGGCCUUUACCAAAUUUACACAUGCAAGUCUCCGCCCCCCUGUGAGGAUGCCCUAAACCUCCCGAUCGGAAUUAAGGAGCAGGCAUCAGGCACGCCCCCCCCCCGGGCAGCCCAAGACGCCUUGCUUAGCCACACCCCCAAGGGAACUCAGCAGUGAUAGACAUUAAGCAAUGAGUGAAAACUUGACUUAGUUAAGGUAAACAGGACUGGUCAAGCGCGUGCCAGCCACCGCGGUUAUACGUACAGUCCAAGUUGACAGACACCGGCGUAAAGGGUGGUUACGGGACCCCCCCCCACACUAAAGUCGAACUCCCCCUACGCUGUUAUACGCACCCGGGGGCGUGAAGCCCCGCCACGAAAGUGACUUUACCCCCCCCCGAACCCACUACCGCUAUGAGAACAAACUGGGAUUAGAUACCCCACUAUGCUUAGCCAUAAACCUUGAUAGUGUUUUACAACCACUAUCCGCCCGGGAACUACGAGCGCUAGCUUAAAACCCAAAGGACUUGGCGGUGCUUUAGACCCACCUAGAGGAGCCUGUUCUAGAAUCGAUAACCCCCGUUCAACCUCACCACCCCUAGCCGACCCCGCCUAUAUACCGCCGUCGUCAGCUUACCCUUUGAAGGCCUCAAAGUAAGCAUAAUUAGCACAACCUCAAAACGUCAGGUCAAGGUGUAGCGUAUGGAGUGGGAAGAAAUGGGCUACAUUCUCUGCCCCAGAGAAAACGAAAGGCGCACUGAAACAUGCGCCCGAAGGAGGAUUUAGCAGUAAGACGGGAGCAAGAGCGCCCCUCUGAAGCUGGCCCUGAAGCAUGCACACACCGCCCGUCACUCUCCCCAAACUUACCCACAAAUACUAAAUAAGGAUCUCUUAAAUUAAGGGGAGGCAAGUCGUAACAUGGUAAGUGUACCGGAAGGUGCGCUUGGAAAAAC